GCGCCCAUAGCUCAACUGGAUAGAGCAACUGCCUUCUAAGCAGUAGGUUUCAGGUUCGAGUCCUGAUGGGCGUA
rnacentral:tRNA from 1 species